rnacentral:rRNA from 1 species
CUGGGCUCGAGCCGCGGCUGGGGGAGCAGUCGUCCCGCCGCCCUCUCUCUCUCCGCCGCCCGAGGCUGGCCGCCGGCCCGUCCUCCACCGGGGGGCCCUCGGUCCGGAGCGCUUCGCCGGCGUUCCCGGCCGGGGGGUUUCUCGGCCCCGGGGGGCGUGUCCGACGCCCGCGCCGGAAGGCGGGCCGGAGGAGGUUGGAUACGGCGGUCGGCGGCGGCGACUCUGGACGNGNGCCGGGCCCUUCUCGCGGAUCUCCCCAGCUACGGCGCCCGUCGGGUACCCGUUCGMGCGGGCCCCGCGGGUCGCCCGUUGGGCCUAGCAGCUGACUUAGA